CCUUGUACACACCGCCCGUCACAUCGUGGGAGUUGGUUUUACCAGAAGUAGGUAGUCUAACCGCAAGGAGGACGCUUACCACGGUAGUAUUCAUGACUGGGGUG
rnacentral:rRNA from 1 species